AUUGAACGCUGGCGGCAGGCCUAACACAUGAAAGUCGAACGAGUGGCGGACGGGUGAGUAAUGUCUGGGAAACUGCCUGAUGGAGGGGGAUAACUACUGGAAACGGUAGCUAAUACCGCAUACCAUCGGAUGUGCCCCAAUGGGAUUAGCUUGUUGGUGGGGUAACUGCUCACCAAGGCGACGAUCCCUCGCUGGUCUGCGAGGAUGACCCGCCACACUGUAACUGAGACACGGUCCAGACUCCUACGGUAGGCAGCAGUGGGUAAUAGUGCACAAUGGGCGCAAGCCUGAUGCAGCCAUGCCGCGUGUAUGAAGAAGGCCUUCGGGUUGUAAAGUACUUUCAGCGGGGAGGCGUUACCCGCAGAAGAAGCACCGGCUAACUCCGUGCCAGCAGCCGCGGUAAUAC
rnacentral:rRNA from 1 species